ensembl:snRNA U6 U6 spliceosomal RNA
GUGCUCGCUUCGGCAGCACGUAUACUAAAAUUGGAACGAUACAGAGAAGAUUAGCAUGGCCCCUGUGCAAGGAUGACACUGAAAUUUGUGAAGCGUUCCAUAUUUAA